UUAUUUCAGCGAGACAAUGUCAAACCACAUUCUGCACGUGUUACAACAGUGUGGCUUCGUAGUAAAAGAGUGCGGCUACUAGACUGGCCUGCCUGCAGUCCAGACCUGUCUCCCAUUGAAAAUGUGUGGCACAUUAUGAAGCGGAAAAUACGACAACGGAGACCCCGCACUGUUGAACAGCUGAAGCUGUACAUCAAGCAAGACUGGGAAAGAAUUCCACCUACAAAGCUUCAACAAUUAGUGUACUCAGUUUCCAAACGUUUAUUGAAGGUUGUUAAAAGAAAAGGUGAUGUAACACAGUGGUAAACAUGACCCUGUCCCAGCAUUUUCAGAACAUGUUGCAACCAUAAAAUUCUAUGUUAAUGAUUAUUUGCUAAAACAAUAAAGUUUAUCAGUUCUAACAUUAAAUAUCUUGUCUUUGUAGUGUAUUCAAUUAAAUAUAGGUCAAACAUGAUUUGCAAAUCAUUGUAUUGUUUUUUAUUUAUGUUUAACACAUCCCAACUUCAUUGGAAUUGGGGUUGUAAUAGGCAGUCUGUGUGGAACUAACCCAACUGACUUAAUAUACAUUAAUUAAUGUUUCAGCUAAAAGCUUAAUAUAGCAUUGUUAAAAUUUUUAUUUGUGACUGUUUUAUUACAGCAAAUGGUUUAUAUGUGCAAGUUUUCACUUGACUUCUGUUCUAAGCAUGGAGCCUUUUAUUUUGAAGGGUGUGCACUGUAACUCAGCAUUUUUGGCACGAAAGGUAACAUUAUACAACACUGGCAUGAAAAACAGUAACGAAUGGAACCAACUGCUCUGUAAAACGCUGAUUUCCUUUACCUAACCACCGAUGAGGCACAUGGUUGGUGUUUGUGAUACUCAAGCGCUUGAAGAAGGCUACCUGAAAUGAAGAGAUCCAUCCAGGCCUGCUGGUGAUCUACGACCAGAUCGUCACCAUUCACCCUGAGCAGCUCUCCCAGCUCUUUUCUGGCUGCAUCCCGGAGGCUGGUGAACGUCUCCUCCAGCUUGGACGGCUCGAUGGGCUCUGAAGUCCUCACAACAGAUAGGAUAUUGUCCGUGUA